ensembl:snRNA U6 U6 spliceosomal RNA
UGAACAAUAUUGUGCUCACUUUGAACUAAAAUUUGAACAAUACCAAGAAGAUUAGCGUGGCCCCUGCACAAGGAUAAGACGCAAAUUUGUGAAGCUUUUCAUGCUGCA